GCCCUUCGGGGUACACGAGCGGCGAACGGGUGAGUAACACGUGGGUGAUCUGCCUCGCACUCUGGGAUAAGCCUGGGAAACUGGGUCUAAUACCGGAUAUGACCUUACAUCGCAUGGUGUUUGGUGGAAAGAUUUAUCGGUGCGAGAUGGGCCCGCGGCCUAUCAGCUUGUUGGUGGGGUAAUGGCCUACCAAGGCGACGACGGGUAGCCGGCCUGAGAGGGCGACCGGCCACACUGGGACUGAGACACGGCCCAGACUCCUACGGGAGGCAGCAGUGGGGAAUAUUGCACAAUGGGCGAAAGCCUGAUGCAGCGACGCCGCGUGAGGGAUGACGGCCUUCGGGUUGUAAACCUCUUUCGACAGGGACGAAGCGCAAGUGACGGUACCUGUAGAAGAAGCACCGGCCAACUACGUGCCAGCAGCCGCGGUAAUACGUAGGGUGCGAGCGUUGUCCGGAAUUACUGGGCGUAAAGAGCUUGUAGGCGGCUUGUCGCGUCGAUCGUGAAAACUUGGGGCUCAACCCCAAGCUUGCGGUCGAUACGGGCAGGCUUGAGUACUUCAGGGGAGACUGGAAUUCCUGGUGUAGCGGUGAAAUGCGCAGAUAUCAGGAGGAACACCGGUGGCGAAGGCGGGUCUCUGGGAAGUAACUGACGCUGAGAAGCGAAAGCGUGGGUAGCGAACAGGAUUAGAUACCCUGGUAGUCCACGCCGUAAACGGUGGGUACUAGGUGUGGGUUUCCUUCCACGGGAUCCGUGCCGUAGCUAACGCAUUAAGUACCCCGCCUGGGGAGUACGGCCGCAAGGCUAAAACUCAAAGGAAUUGACGGGGGCCCGCACAAGCGGCGGAGCAUGUGGAUUAAUUCGAUGCAACGCGAAGAACCUUACCUGGGUUUGACAUACACCGGAAACCUGCAGAGAUGUAGGCCCCCUUGUGGUCGGUGUACAGGUGGUGCAUGGCUGUCGUCAGCUCGUGUCGUGAGAUGUUGGGUUAAGUCCCGCAACGAGCGCAACCCUUAUCUUAUGUUGCCAGCGCGUAAUGGCGGGGACUCGUGAGAGACUGCCGGGGUCAACUCGGAGGAAGGUGGGGACGACGUCAAGUCAUCAUGCCCCUUAUGUCCAGGGCUUCACACAUGCUACAAUGGCCGGUACAGAGGGCUGCGAUACCGUGAGGUGGAGCGAAUCCCUUAAAGCCGGUCUCAGUUCGGAUCGGGGUCUGCAACUCGACCCCGUGAAGUUGGAGUCGCUAGUAAUCGCAGAUCAGCAACGCUGCGGUGAAUACGUUCCCGGGCCUUGUACACACCGCCCGUCACGUCAUGAAAGUCGGUAACACCCGAAGCCGGUGGCCUAACCCCUUGUGGG
rnacentral:rRNA from 1 species